ACACAAGCACUAUUUGGAAUUACUUCAACAUAAACCAUCCAAACAUUCUUCUGUUACCCGCUUGACAAUGGAUACUGAACCUGAAGCACAAAUGUAAAAUCUACAAGUGAGUGAAUUCGAUAGCUCAGAUGUUUCAAGAUUUGGCACAGGACUCCAACCUGAAAUAAAGCAGUGAGCAUGGGCGACUGGAAUUUCCUUGGAGGGAUUUUGGAGGAAGUUCAUGUCCACUCCACCAUUGUUGGGAAAAUAUGGCUGACAAUACUUUUCAUAUUCCGCAUGCUUGUCCUUGGAGUGGCUGCUGAAGACGUAUGGAAUGACGAGCAGUCAGAGUUCAUCUGUAACACUGAGCAGCCUGGCUGCAGAAACGUGUGCUACGACAAGGCUUUCCCAAUCUCCCUCAUACGUUACUGGGUUUUGCAGGUUAUCUUCGUAUCUUCGCCAUCCCUAGUGUAUAUGGGCCAUGCACUAUACAGGCUCAGGGCGCUGGAGAAAGAAAGGCAGAAGAAGAAAGUGGAGCUGAAGGGUGAACUGGAAGAGACUGAGACUAUUUUGGAAGACAGGCGCAGGUUAGAGCGAGAGUUAAGACUGUUGGAGCGCAGAAAAUUAAACAAAGCACCGCUCAGAGGCUCUCUGCUCCGCACUUAUGUCCUGCACAUUCUCACUAGGUCUGUGGUCGAGGUUGGAUUUAUGAUGGGUCAGUUUUUGCUCUAUGGACUGGAGUUAGAUCCUCUGUACAAGUGCAAACGGUUGCCCUGCCCCAACAUCGUGGACUGCUUUGUGUCCAGACCCACCGAGAAGAGCGUUUUCAUGCUAUUCAUGCUGUGCAUCUCAGCAGUUUCCCUCUUUCUAAACAUCCUCGAAAUCAUUCAUCUGGGCUGUAAGAAGUCGGAGUUGGGGCUUUUUGGAUAUUAUCCCAAACUGAAAGAGGACGUGGGUGAUAUCUGCAUCAGCAAGUCACAGAAGAAUUCAAGUGCUCAGCGAAUCUCUGUCUCGGCAGCGGGACACACGCACACCAUGGUCCCCAGUGCUCCAAUUGGUUACAGCCUGUUGCUGGAGAAACAAGCGGAGGCUACAAUGUAUCCGAUAUUUACACCUCCCGAGUUCAAACCCACUCAGGAUGAUUUGAAACAAAGUUAUAAAGAAACGCAACAGCAGCCUCCCAUGGCCACUCAAUAUAAUGCAGACUCUAACACAGCGUUAAGUUGCACUGAAGGACCCAAAAAGUCCAGCGGAUCGGAAGUUCCCAGUCAAAAGGGGGAAGAAUGGAAUGAGCCCGCAAAGACGGCUUCACUUCUCAGCCCGAACUCGCACUCAGCCAGUCAGAUGGAGCAGUCCACCGCCGGGACCUUAUACCCGGCUCUUCACGGCGCCCCGUUCCCCCCCGCGAUUUCCGCCAGCGCCAGUCGCAAGCUGCGCCGAGUCAGCGCCACCUUGAGCUGCGCCACAGUGGCCGAGCGCAGCGGCUCCGCCACCGAGUCUGAGCCCGGUCACCGGGGCAGGUGUGGUUUCAGUGUGACCAGGGCCCGCACAGCUUCUAAAGGCGACCUCAAAAGGCCCAGCAGACCCGACACUCCCGAAUCAAUCUGUGAAUCGAGCUCCGAGUCGAAGUACAGCGGAGACGGCGACAGUCCCCAGCAGGCUCUCUCUCCCUCACGGAGAAUGUCAUUGGCAAGUAACGCCAGCGGCAGGCGUGCUCCCACCGACCUCCAGAUAUGAGCGUCAGUUUAAUUAAUACCUUGUCUCUGCUAAAUAUAAGAAUACAUGCUUGGACCUUAGCAAAGUGGGGUUGUUUUGAUCCUAGAUUUCACCUUUAGAUCAACAGUAAUGUGCUGCCAGUGCAACCUGUUAUAUGAAAAUGUGACCAUGAAAUAGAAACGGCGAAUAAAGUCUCGCAUUCCCCAAACAGAUCUCCGUUUGUUCCAUACAAUGCAAACUAAGACAUUUUUGAAUAUAUAAUAUAGACCAACGAUUUUUUUAAAAUAAUGAGAAACAAGAGUGAAGGGGCUGAAACCAAUAUUGCUGGACACAAUCAAGAAUUAACAAAGAGGAAAUCAGGGAUCAGCGGUGAGAUCACUGUACUUCAGCUUUUAACCGUUAUGAAAAAACAGAGUCAGUAACCAAAGGCAUUAGGAACUACUGAAAAUUUUGCAUUUGAACUGAAAGAUAAUCACAUGCUCUCCAACCAUUGGGAAUACUGCAAGCCCUGUACUUAAUAUGCUGAGAAUAGACAGACCUUAUUGUGCUGCACUGAGACUUAGGUGCAAUAACCUUAACAAUUUAUAUAAUGACAUUUGUAAGUGAGGAAAUUGCCACUGUCACCUCUCUUGAAUAACAUAUAUGUUUCAAAGCACAGUUCCUGUCAGCUAUAUUCCAAAUUGCAAUUUCCAUUCUGGGAAUUUCUUAGGCUUACUCCUGGUUGUAGAGUGUUCAUAUAACAUUGGUAACAUUACAAAGAUAUCCUGUGGGGUACAGGGGCCAGUGUAGUGAGCUAUGCUGGAAAGAGAAGUGGAUAUUAUUCCAAAUUAUGUCAUCUGUUGGAUUUCAAUGCCUGGCCUGCUUUCAAGAAAGUGCGGAUCAUCUGAAAGUAAUUUCCUGCAGAAGUCAUAAAACACGAGUGACUGUGUUAAAAGGCAGAAGUAGAGGUGUCCAAACAAAUCAAAUGAUUGUUACAGGAAAUGCUAAACAACAACAUGGACUGCAGCAGUUCAAGAAGGCAACUUAUUACCACAACCUUCUCAAGCACAACUAGGGAUGGCCAAUGAAUGUGGCCCAGCCAAUGACACUACAUCUCAUGCGUGAAUAAGAGAAACAAGAGUGAAUAGAAAGGAAGACUUUGGUAAUCUUUGAAUCUGCAAUCAUCGGCCUUCUUCUUAAAGUCUAAAUAAAACUUCACCAAUCUGCCUUCAUAAACUACCAUCAUUCUCCAAAUUCCCUUUUUCAAGAUCAUAAAAUUAUAACAGUCUAAUCCUUUAUUCACUUAUGGGAUAAGGAUGUUGCUGGCUAGGCAGCAUUUAUUGCCCAUCACUAAUUGCUCAGAGGGCAGUUCAGAGUCAACCACAUUGCUGUCGGUCUGGAGUCACAUUUCGGCCAGACCAGGUAAGGAUGUCAAUUUCCUUUCCUAAAGGACAUUAGUGAACCAGAUGUUUUUUUUCCUGACAAUCAAUCAUGGAUUCAUGGUCAUCAUUAGAUUCUUAAUUCCAAAUAUUUUAUUGAAUUCAGAUUUCUCCAUCUGCCAUGGGAGGAUUUGAAUGUGGGCCCCAGAAUAUUCUCUGGAUUAACAUUCCAGCAAUAAUACCACUAGACCAUCGCGUCCCCAGUGUAAUAAAUCUAAUGUAGUAAAUCUAUUAUAAAACCUCGGUCAUACAGUCAUGCAGCACGGAAACAGACCCUUCAGUCCAACGAGUCCAUGUCAAACAUAAUUCCAAACUAAUCUAGUCCCAUCUGCCUGUUCCUAGCUCAUUUCCCUUCAAACCUUUCCUAUUCAUGUACUCAUUCAAAUGUCUUUUAAAAAUUGUAAUUGUACCCAUAUUCACCACUUUCUCAGUAAGUUAAUUCUAUACAUGAACAACCCUCUGUCUAAAAAAAUUGUGUCAUGUCUUUUUUAAAUCACCCUGACCUAUAAAAUCUGUCCCCAGUCUUGGAAUCCCCCAUCCCAGGGAAAAGACACCUCCCAUUAACUCUAUCUCUACCCCUCUUGAUUUUAUAAUGUGCCAAAGUUUUCUGCAAUUCCAUUUGAAUUCCUUCAGUCAGGUUUCUAUCAAGCCAGAAUAGUGAAAUGUACUUCAUCAAAGUCACAAAUACAACCUAUGUUAAAGUGACAAAAGGUAAACUAUCCCUCUUUGUCCUCCUUGACACAUUUAACACAUUUGACCAGACCAUCAUCUUCCAUACCUUUCCAUGAUCUUGCAGCUGAGUGCUCUUGCCUGUUUCUAUUCCUAUCCAGCUAAUCCAAGUCAGAGAAUGACCUGCAAUGACUCCUUGGCACACCUCAUCCACCCCAUGAGAAUGCUACUUCUGGAAUUCCCCCAAGAAACAAUCCUUGAUUCCUCCUGUUUCUGAUCUAUAAACUUCUAUUUGGUGACAUCGUUUGAAAACAUAAUGCCAUGUUCCACAAGUAUCUUGAUGAUACCGGACUCUACAUCAUCAUCACCUCCAAAACUGCUGCCAAUAUCUUCAAUUUGUCACACAGCUUGUUCAAUAUCUAAUACUGGAUGCUCAAAAAUUUGCUCUAAAUAAAUAUUGGCAAGACCAAAGCCAUUUCUUCUAGUACUUCCUCCGAAUUCCAUUCCCUAGCUACCAACUCCAUCUAUUGUGAUCCCAGCUGAUAGUAGUAUGGGACAAGUCAGAUCCCAGAAGGUAACCUAGCUUGGCCAAUCAUAUGUUGAAUUUUUACAGUUGUUUACCAUCUUGGUUAGUCACCAAAACAUACAUAUUCUAGGAUGUUCUUUGAUAACACAACGUAGGAAUAUUACAUAAAAAAGAAAACCAUAUAUUUUAAAAAUAUGAUUGUCAAUAAUGUCUUAAGACAAGCAGCAAAACAAGGUUUUAAGCUGCUCACCAAUACUAUCGUCUUAUAGAUACUUCCAGAAAAGUCUCAUUCCUUUAAGCUUUUUCUUCACUGACUGUCCCCAUAAUUUUUCUUUCUCUGGGACUGCAGAGACAUUUGACAAUUCCUUUCUGGGUCCACUAGAACCAUUUCCAAUUCUGAUGGUCGAAAUUUUUUCAGUUCUAACAACUUGAAGAUUUCUGUGCACACUGUCAUGGCUGGGAAAUUCCACAAACCAAACUAGUUUGGUUAUCGUUACUGGUUUCCCUAAAUAAAAAGCUUGAUUGUCCUAUUAGGAGAAAUGUUCUCCCUUCUGAGCUGAACUCCUGAUUCUUUAGAACUGAGACCUUGGAUCUUCUGCUCUGAAGUCAAAUUAUACUCGUGGUUUGUGGCUUGUUGUAAAAUCAGCAGAUCAACAUUCCAUGUAUAAUUGGGAUUCUGCUAGAUGUUAUUGCAGUUACUUGCUUUAUUGGAAUUGACGUAGUUAUCUCAUUGUUCCAAAUGACUUUCUAAGUGUUUUCACAAAAACUACCUUAACAGAACUGCUCACAUCCAUUUGCCUCUAUUUUCAAAUCCAAAUUCCAAAACAAUAGAAACAUGCUAUGCACCUUUCAUCACAAUUCCUUUUCCUGGUGACAGACCAAUCAUAAUCUUCAAGACAGUUUUUUUGUUAACCCUGAGAUGACCCUCUAACCACAAAUUCAUACAAUCAGAAAACAAAUUUUUUCUACCUUUGUAACUUUGCCCAAAUCUGAAACCAGCCUCUGCUCAUCUGCUGCUGAACCUUUCAUCUAUGGUUUUGUUACCUCCAAGCUUCACUAAUCCUAUGCCUUUCUUAACUGAAUUCUUGUCUCUCACUUUAUGUAAACUCAAGCUUACCUAAGACUCUUGCCCAUUUCUUAUGUUGUCCUAUUCAUUCAUUACCUCUGUGCUCACCUAGACUGCCUGUUAGUUAGCAAGAUUAAGUUUUAAAAUCCUUCACCAAUGUUUUCAAAUGCCUCCUGGGUUCACUGUUCUCUCCCUAUAAUCUCCCACAGCCUUAAGGAAAUCAGCAUUUCCCCAAUUCUGGCCUCUUGUACAUCCCCAAUUCUAAUCUGUCCCUAUUGGUGACUGAGGUAUUAGAUACAUAGGUCCAAAUCUCCAAAAUGUUCGACUUAUAGCUGUCUGAUAUUUCAGUCUCUCUCUCUCUCUUUAAGAAAAUCUUUAAAAUCCUCCCUAUUUCCCAAACUUGGUGAUCUUCCCUACUCAUUUUGCUAUCCAGUAUUAAAAUUUGCUUUUUUAAAAAAGUCCUGUGGAUGGGAUGCUUCACAAUGCCGAAGGCACUGUGUAAACACAAAUUGUUGUUUCAAAUAAAAUGCACAUCUCUUACCAGUUGUUUCCUGGUAAGAAAAAUCUGUUGUCUCAACAAUUGCUCUCUAGUCCCUCAUUAUCAUUGCUCUUCAAAUCCCAGGGUCCUCUGUCUUCUCAAACUCAACACAAUCUACUGGUUUCAGGUGAUUUAACAUAUUGCUGCAUUCAGAAAGUCAUUGUUUUGCAAGUCUGUUGUAGUUUUUGCUAUGGGGAUUUUUUAAAGGGAUCAUUUACAACAAAAUCUCUACUUCGAAAAAUUUCUGUGACGGUAUUGCUGUUCUUCAUAUUUUGUUGAAGUCAUAUUGAUUUCAUUAAGGUAGUUUUGGCUGUUCUGAAACAUUGCAAAAAGUGAACUUUAAAUGUUCAACAAAAUGCUUCAAUAAUGGGAAAAUAAGUAUUAACCAUUAUAAAAUUAUUCCACAUAGCUACAAUACACUUAAUGGGAUGAACUCAUA